UACGUAGGGUGCGAGCGUUAAUCGGAAUUACUGGGCGUAAAGCGUGCGCAGGCGGUUUUGUAAGCCAGAUGUGAAAUCCCCGGGCUUAACCUGGGAAUGGCAUUUGGGACUGCAAGGCUCGAGUGCGGCAGAGGAGACUGGAAUUCCUGGUGUAGCAGUGAAAUGCGUAGAUAUCAGGAGGAACACCGAUGGCGAAGGCAGGUCUCUGGGCUGACACUGACGCUCAUGCACGAAAGCGUGAGGAGCAAACAGG
rnacentral:rRNA from 1 species